rnacentral:rRNA from 1 species
CCCUUAGAUGUUCUGGGCCGCACGCGAGCUACACUGAUGCAUUCAACGAGCCUAUCCUUGACCGACAGGUCCGGGUAAUCUUUGAAUCUGCAUCGUGACGGGGAUAGAUUAUUGCAAUUAUUAAUCUUCAACGAGGAAUGCCUAGUAGGCGCAAGUCAUCAGCUUGCGUCGAUUACGUCCCUGCCCUUUGUACACACCGCCCGUCGCUCCUACCGAUUGGGUGUGCUGGUGAAAUGUUCGGAUCGGCCGUUUGUCGCGGUUUCCGCGGCUCGUGGCUGAGAAGUUCAUUAAACCCUCCCACCUAGAGGAAGGAGAAGUCGUAACA